UCAGGGGUUGUCGGCAAUGCAGUCCUCAUCUCUAGCACAGAAAAGGGAAUUCUACCACGUCACUACCAGUCUGUGAUCUCCUGUUGAAUAGUGCGCCUGGCUUCGCAUAAUUACUUUCUACUUGCUGACAAUGCAUAUUUGCAGUGCCUGGGAUUGAGUGGAGAUGAGUCAUAAUGAUGUGGCAGCCUGUGAGACAUCCACAUUUUAAAAGAAGAAUGGAGCAUACAGUUAAACCCAUCUUCUUAGAGAUGUGGAGAAAUCACAGGUACAGAUAUCUGCCUGGCCUGUGUUUGUAUGUCCAUUGGAAAAAGAACCAUAACACAUCUCCUCAUAACUGUGAACAAGCUGCAACGCUGUUGGUAAGAAUAAAAUUAAAGAAAACUUCUGCCUGCAGGUGGGUAGAGAAUGGAGGUAAGGUAAAUUCAAUACAUAAGAAGUCAAAUGCAUUCUGUAAAGAACAUGGGAAAAACAAAUCACAAAAGGAAAAACUUAAAUUGUAAGGGAAGGCUAAAUUGCUGAAGUGGCUCUUCAGAACCCAUUCACCACUUACUCUGAGCAAGCAGGGGCAGCCUCAGUCAGUUUAUGUCAGGUAGAGAACAGGACAGGACAUGAUAGUGACUGUGUGGAUACUGCUGAAAUGGAGAAAUCUUCAACUCAGAGAAGCAGACAUAUGCUUAUGGUAUGAAGGCACAUAUGGACAGUCUCUUGAAAGAAACUGAAGCAUUUCUUAGCAGACAGGAUCCCUGAUGCAUCCAGUCUGGCAUCUUGCCUCUGGCAAUAAAUCAUACUCAGCAUUUCAGAAACAGCUUCCAAAAUCCUAUAGUAUAUCUGCCCAUUUAUGUAAUGUGAAAUAUAAGUAAGCAAGAGGAAAAUUCCUUUGUGGUCUUUUUGUCAAUCAUUCACUAUGGAUCAUUAGGUUUAUUAUUGCUCUAUCUUAGCAUGAAUAAUCACUAAUGUUGUUAUUGCCAAUAAAAUUAUUCCACAGUUAAAAAAAAUCAAGUUAUUGUAGUUAAGGCUGACCAAGUGAUGCCUACAGUCCAAUAUUUCUUUUUAUUGACUCUAUUUGUAUCUAAUAUAAAAGAAACUUGCUUGUAUAAUUUAAAAAAAAAUGACAGCUAGGGAAAAGUCACUUUAAAAAAUUGCUUUUAUCUCAGGUUAUAGCUCAGUUAAUGUGAGCCCAAAUGUUGCAUGCUGCAGCUUUAGAGGCAAAAAGUAACAUUUGAUCAAACAUCACUUAUUUUCAUCUGUAUAAUGAUGCAGGUAAAAAAAACCCGUGCCGGAUCAACUUUUUACAGCACUCAUAAUUAUCAUACAGUAAUCCUUUUAAGAGUUUUUGCUGAUACACUGUUAUACAAAGCCGAAAAACUACAGGGAAGGUAACAAAUUCCAAGGCCAAAAUAAAGCCCAAAAUUGUUCUGGAAGAGCCUCUUUUUAACUCUCAGACAAACAAAAACUCCUACUGCAAAUAAAUAUAUUAUCUGUAAAUAAAAUAUGCAAUAAUUACCACUCUGUAGUAACAAAGUUCCUAUUUUAUGUUUUUGUUCCUGAGAGAAAAUUUCUGAUUUGUUUUCCUACAUCUGAUGUAAAAGCCAGACAGCACUCUUUCUAAUUUAGUUACAUUUCCAGGGGGAAAAGAGGCCAUUCACUAAUUCUAUUGCACCAGUAUGGUACAUAUGUAACAUCCAUAUCACAGACACAAUAAUCCACAUAGCAAACCAAGUCAAUACAGCCAAAGUGUCUUCAGAAAUUCAUGGAACUACUGAAAAGACAUUGUAUUAUGGAAAACACUAUAUAAUGCACUGUACUGUGUAUUUAUUUUGUGCAGUUAAGGUGGGUAACUAGAAAUUCCCGAGUCAAAUAGAAAAUUCAAGUUCUCAAGAAAAAUACCUGAGGAAUUUAGUGUAAGGCAACAAUAAGAACUUUGGUUUUUGCCCUUUUUCUUGUCCCACUCCUACGUAGUGUAGGCUGAUUUUAAAUGAAAAUGAAAGUUACUUCAAAACCUGUACUUGUUAAAUUGUAUAUAGAAAAUAAGAGUGUCAGCAUUUUCUAACUUAAACUCUUUGUUACCCUGUCAAGUUUCAACACAGUUAAUGACCUUAUUUUCUUUUUCCCUUACUGCUAAAAUUAACUAUUAAUUUGUCUUUCAAAUAUUAUUCCAAUAUAAAAUUUUAUUUUCAAUUAUACAUAUUGCCUAAUCUUGCAAAUAAAACACUGUGCUUCAAGUCAGUUUUUCCUACAUAUAAAACAGGAAAUUUCUUGCAACAAAAAUUACAUAGUUAUACUUUAAGGUGCACACAUUUUGUUUUAUUUGUUACUGACUACCUGGAAAAAAUACUUAAAUACAGAAUAUUGGAAUUUGUGUGAGUGAAGUUGAGAAAAAGGAUGUUACUGCACCAGAUCAAAGAGACACAAGUCUUUAAAAGCAUUCAAUUGAUUUACUGGUAGAUGGAUCAAAUCCUUUUACAGAUUAAUCCCAUUUUGCAUUUUUUGAAAAGAAGUUAUCUUCUGUCUUUACACAUAUUUAUAACACUUGUUUGGUACACCUCUGUCAGCAAUAUUUUAUGUUGGCAAGGUGGCAGAAGGAUGUGACAGAUGAUGAUACAAUCAAGACAAGCAAAAGCAAAAAUUUGUAAAAAUCCAUAUUGCCUUCAUCUAUAUAUUUAAAGUGAUUUGGAAUAUGGAUCUGAACUGCUCACGCAUAUUUUGUGAUCUCGAAAUAGUUAAAAAACCCUGAUGUUUUAUUAGCAGGGACUUAUUAAUAUUUCAAUUUUGAUAACUGGGAUGAAAUAAAAUUCCUUGUCCAGAAUAAGCAAUUUGUGGGAGUUGAUUCUGCAGACUCUAGAAUAUCCACCCUGUCUAUCAACCAGACAUUUUGUAUCUGUAUUCUGUUCCAAUUCUACAGCAACAGGGAUGGCCAGUUUAUGGCAGGACAAGAGGGAAUAUGACGUUUGACAACAAACUUCUAGAAGACUAAAAGGUAAAGGAGAGGACACAGAAACUGAAAAUUAUUUUGUUGAUUUAAUAUUGAAGAGCAACAUGCAAUCAGAACAUGUUGUUCAAAUUCAGCAUUAGGGUGAGGCAUUUUACAUUCUUUGAAAAGGGUCUGGGGAGGAGGAACUUUUUUCAGAAUAAAAGUAUGACAGUUAACUAUUCCCUCUGCUAGGCUUCUUCUGCUUCAAAAAAAUUAUAUCCUGGAGAUUUUAGUUUGGGAGGAUUUUCCAUAUGAUUUAGGAGCUGAAGAACUCAAUACAAGUUGUGGUAAAUUUGAUUCUUCAAUCUGUAAAUGCCACUAUCUGUGACCAUGCAGCACUCCCUUAGUUCUCAGUGCAGUGGACUAUGGUAUUUUGUUGCAUACUUAAUUUCAUAACCUGAAAUGUGCAUUUGUACUUCAUGCAUCCAGCAAAUUGCCCUGCACAGCAUGGAGCAUGUGUCCUGAUCUCUCAUACUGCAAGAUUGCCUAGCAAGGUAAGUGAAAAAUGAACAGUUUGGGAAAAACUAGGUAGUGUCACUUCACUGCCCUGAUCAUAAUAGGGAAAAAGGUUUGUAAUUUACUACCCUUUUUUUCCAGUCUCUGAACACGUACCUCUAUGUUCGGCAGUCCCCAAAGUUCACUGAAGCAGCAGUGCUUGUGCUGAUUUCAUUUCAUUCCUUCUGCAAGAUUACCUUAGAACAUCUGGUAAAAAUUAGACAAACAGAUUAGUUACAGUUCUGUUUUCAGUUAAUUAUUUGAAGCCUCUGCCCUCACUUGUCUAUUGCAGAGGAAAGGAAUAAAUUUCUGACAGGAAUAGAGGGUCUAGCUAGGGAUUGUGCAGCCAGUGUCAAACCUAAUAAGAAUUCAAGUACUCCAGGUCCAUAAUUUAGGAUGAUGGUAGUGCUGCUGCUGCACCUCAGCUGAGAGCACUGCUUGUCCAAUAAAGAGAAGCUCUCUAAUCCAAAGAAAUGUGUAACACAAUUGCAGUUUUAAUGGAAAUGGAAUUAGCCUGACCAGAACUACAUUUCCUCUGUAUUAUACGAUACAAAACUAUUUAGUGGUCUACAAAGACAGCAGUGGACUACUUAAAAUGCUCAGGCAUGAAUAGCUUCCUGGUUUUUAACUCAUCAGUGCUGAAAUUUUUCCUCUGAUAGCUACAGUAGGGUUGCUUUAGCAGAGCAAAUAGAAAAGUAAACAUGCUUUUUUCUUUGACACCUGUCAGCCAUCAGGCUGUACCCAAUAAGGUUGUGCAGAAACAUAAGAAACAUGAGGCAAAAAUCUGUGCCCAGGGCUGCCACCUACAUGCUCCUUUCACACUUCUGAGGCUGUGCUGCACCUGAAUUCAUGUAAGGAAAGGACACCAUUGCUUUUUGGCAGUUAAUAAAAAUUAGUAUCAAGAGUGGCAAGAAAAGCUUUAAACAUCCAGCCUGCCUGGAAGUCAAAUGUUUUGAAUGAGGAUACAACAUGGAUGGUGAGUGAAAUGUUACCUCGAGCCAAGCCUUUUGUCACUCCCUUUGCUGCAGACUUUAAGGUAGGAGCUGUCAGGAGUUCUUGGUGCACACGGAGGGCAGCCUGUCUUUCAGGAGAGACUGCUCCCUCAGAGUACUGUGGGCAGCACUUUCUGCCCCAAUAACUUUUAGGUUUCACUUAAUUCCAUCGUCCUUGUCACUUGGGACUUCAGCUGACUGCAGUCAGACUCCCUUUCUGACAUUCAACUGCUAGGCUAAAUGUAUGCAUGCAUAUAUAUAUAUAUUUUCACACACACAUACACAUAUAAAUAUAUGACAGUUAUGUUCAAUAGCCGUAUAUUUAAGGCGUAGUUUCUGAAGAUAUGUAUACAAACAACAAGGAUAUAUUAGAUCUUACAGUUAUUUUCCUUGAUUUUCACUUAAUAAAGAAAGUUUUGUUUAUGCUUUCAGCUAUAAACUGUCUGUUACCAAAACUGCAAUGUCCUGCCUGUGUUUGCAGAGAGCGUGAAAUCAGAAGUGAGUUCUGCUCACCUCCUCCAGAUGUCCUUCACCUCUGAAUGUACCCUGAGAAAGAGAAAAGUGCAGUCAUAACAGAAAAAAAAAUAAAAAAGAAAAAUCAUUAUUUUCUUUGUAUUCAAGCUGAGGGGAAAAAAAGAAAAAUUAAAAACCUGAGUCCGGGAUGUUAAGUACUAAGGCUGGGGAGGGUGCAGUUGACAUGAUUUGAGGCUGGGGUUUCAAUUUCAAAACAUUAGCAACUGAGAGCUUAAAUGAAGAUGAUGAAGAGCUGUCAGGAAAGGGCCAGUUCCCUUCAGAAAGAAAUUAUAGCAGCUUCUAAGCCUACAGUGUUACCUGACUUUCAAAGCAGAAAAUUUGACAUGCAGUCAUGACUUGCAGACAUGAGUGGGAAUCUAGUAAAAAACAAAGGUAAGAAUUCUUAAAUCCUCCAUACAUCUUCCUGUUCCUAGGAGAUUUAUUUAUAAAAAGUAUUACAAUGCGAAGUACUCGUAUUUCUGUUCACCUAUUCCAUGUAAGUAAAACAAAUGAGGCACAUAAUGGAUGCUGAGCUUUCACUCAUAUUUUUUUCCACUUGAACCUUUUUAUACUUGCAUGAAUACUUUCUCUAUACAGUGAUUGUACAAUUAUAUAACACACACACACACACACACACACACACACACACACACACACACACACACAUAUAUAUAUAUGCAUGACUAGAUGGGUGUUGACUUAAACAUGCUUAGGAUUUUUGCUGCUGCAUUUUCCUGUUUCAUUUCAGAAUGAGUUGCAUUUCAGAAUAUCCUGCUAAUGCGUACUGG